rnacentral:lncRNA from 1 species
GUUCCAGAAGGUAUAGCUCUCGCCUCAGUUUUUUUUUUUGUUUGAAAUCGGAGACUGUUCCAAUUUCCUACUGAGAUAGGCAAGCGGAGGGAGAACUAGACGUAUCUUGCUAGGCAAAGACAGGUUAGAAUGGAUAGCUCGCGGGUGGGAUUGACGGGAUAGAUCACUAUUGCAGAAGGAGGUAGAACCGGGGGAAGAAUUAUGGCUAUAAAGGUCCUCGCCCUCUUAGGCACAUGGUUCUAAAGAUUAGGCAGAAGAAGAACUAGAACUAGAAUUCUUCGCCCCUCCCCUUGUACCAAGAAGCCAGUUCAGAACAUAAGGAUAAUGGGCUCGUCUAUUAUAAGUUAUUAGUUUACGGAGCUAUCUCAGAUAUCUCGAGUAAGGAGACGGGAUAGUUAGAGUUCUAUUUCUAGGAAGGAAGAGACUAUCGGGAAGCUCACUCUCGGCCGGGCUCGAAGCAGAAGGUAGAACGUAAUAUCUCUUGUUGGUUCAGCUCAUCAAGCUAUUACAAAAGAGUCCAGCGGAGACAAAGAAAGAAGCCAUUUUUACGGUAUUUUCGCUUCCAGUCCGGAUCCAUCCUAAACCAAAGAGCGGGGCUAAGCGAGGGGCAUAGCGAUACAGUGUUCAUACUCGAGUUGCUCAAAUCCAGUAGGAAUAUCAGGAAUAGUAGGAUCUAGUAGGAGCUUGCCUUGGAAUGCAGUGAGGGAGCCCGGAGCUAUUGAAUUAUUUCAUAACCCAAGGAGAAGAAUAGGACUCUUUACCAGUAUCAUAACCUCUCGAUGGGAAAUGGAACUUAGAUCACGAUGUGAACCUACUUAUGAGUGGAAUUUCGUUGACAAGCAAAUUCCCCGGGAAAACUCACUUUUCUCCAAUUGAGAUGCUUUCUUCAUUUAUGGAUUCUAUGCGAGAUUCGGUUAGUGUGAAGUGUGAUCCUGGCUCAGAAGGAAAAGCUAUAUGCNNN